rnacentral:rRNA from 1 species
GACGAACGCUGGCGGCGUGCUUAACACAUGCAAGUCGAACGAAGUGGCGAACGGGUGAGUAAUACGUGGGUAACCUGCCCUCCUUUUUGGGAUAUGCCUUGGAAACGUGGUCUAAUACCGAAUAAAGGGGGAUGGGCUUGCGGCCUAUCAUAUUGUUGGUGGGGUGUUGGCCUACCCAGGCGGCGACGGGUAGCCGGCGUGAGAGGGUGACCGUGUACAGUGGGACUGAGUUACGGCCGAGACUCCUACGGGGGGAAGCGGUGGGGGAUAUUGCACAAUGGGCGAAGGCCUGAUGCAGCGCCGCCGCGUGAGGGAUGAAGGCGUUCGGGUGGUAAACCUCUUGCGCUAGCGAACGGGUAGGUGGAGAAGAAGCGCAGGGGAAGUACGUGCCAGCAGCCGCGGUAAUUG